rnacentral:rRNA from 1 species
UACGUAGGGGCUAGACGUUGUCCGGAAUUAUGGUGCGUAAAGAGCUCGUAGGCGGUCUGUCGCGUCUGCUGUGAAAACUCAGGGCUUAACCCUGAGCUUGCAGUGGGUACGGGCAGACUAGAGUGCGGUAGGGGAGACUGGAAUUCCUGGUGUAGCGGUGAAAUGCGCAGAUAUCAGGAGGAACACCGAUGGCGAAGGCAGGUCUCUGGGCAUUAAACUGACGCU